rnacentral:rRNA from 1 species
UACGUAGGGGGGCAAGCGUUGUCCGGAAUCAUUGGGCGUAAAGAGCGUGUAGGCGGCUCGAUAAGUCUGCUGUGAAAGUCCAGGGCUCAACCCUGGAAGGCCGGUGGAAACUGUCGGGCUAGAGUCCGGAAGAGGCGAGUGGAAUUCCUGGUGUAGCGGUGAAAUGCGCAGAUAUCAGGAGGAAUACCGAUGGCGAAGGCAGGUCUCUGGGCUGACACUGACGCUCAUGCACGAAAGCGUGGGGAGCAAACAGG